GUGGUUUUGGCUCAGUGGUACAGUGCUCACCUAGCAUGUGUGAAGCACUGGGUUCGGUCCUCAACACCACA
rnacentral:tRNA from 1 species